AAACGCCGACCUCAUCCACUUCGCCCACCAACGACACCGCCCUCCGCUCGCCGCCGGCGACCAACGCCGGUGAUCUCUCCCCCCGCCCGCCCGCCCGUCCACACCGGCCGGAGCAUCCGAUCGACCGGCCUCCCCCCCGCCCCAGACACCAUCGCCUUCCCACCGCUGCCGCUCGUCCCGUCUCACCGAUCCCUCCAUCCUUGGUCGAAUCAAUCGGAGAUAGAGGUCUUGGGGUGUUGAGCGCUCCUGGGUGUCUCACGAUGUGCUGCUGGGAAGAAUAUAACAUGUCUUUUGAAGAUAAAGCAAUGGCUAGCCGUGUCGCUUCACCCUCACCAAAAUCUAUGGCUUCAGAAUCAGACCCAAGCAUGAUGUUAGCUAUCACUUCGAAUAUGGAGCAUUCUCAAGCAAAUAACCAGUCAGUUUCAGUUCUUGGUCCAGUGGCUAUCUUUUGGGAUAUUGAGAACUGCCCUGUUCCAAGUGAUGUACGACCAGAAGAUGUUGCUGGAAAUGUCCGGAUGGCAUUACGGCUACAUCCUGUUGUUAAGGGUGCUGUGACAAUGCUCUCUGCAUACGGUGAUUUCAAUGCCUUCCCAAGAAGACUCAGAGAGGGAUGUCAAAGAACUGGAGUCAAACUUGUUGAUGUUCCAAAUGGAAGGAAAGAUGCUGCUGAUAAGGCUAUACUGGUUGAUAUGUUUCUAUUUGCAUUGGACAAUCGUCCACCAUCAUCCAUUAUGCUUAUAUCCGGUGACGUGGACUUUGCUCCUGCAUUGCAUAUACUUGGUCAGCGUGGAUACACUAUUGUCCUGGCCAUUCCAUCCUCAGUUACUGUAUCUUCAGCAUUGAGCAGUGCUGGGAGUUUCGUCUGGGACUGGCCUAGUCUUGCUCGUGGUGAAGGUAUUGUGGCCCCUAGAUCCAUAGGGCGCCGCUUUGCCGAUCCUCCAGGAUAUCAACAUGGUGGGAAUUUUGGGUCGUUCCCUGACACGCAGAAUGAAGAGGAGGCCAUUGUCUACAUGGGAACUUCAAGAAAUGAAUGCAGUGGUAGAACUACCAGCAACCAGAUAUAUUGCUAUAACUCUUCUCAAACCACUAGAGAACCAUCCAAAGCUUUCUAUACAGUUACAGAUGGGAACUGUGGCACAUCAUCAAGGUCACAUAAUUUAGCAUGUAGUUUGAAUGAAGGUCCAGAUGUAGACCAAGGUUUGCCAGAUGAGCGGUCAUGGUGGGUUCGUCCUGGUGAUCUUCAAGGUUUGAAGGGCCAAUUGUUGCGGUUGUUUGAGUUAUCAGGUGGAUCUGUUCCACUUGUCCGUGUUCCUUCAGAAUAUCUAAAACUCUUUGGAAGACACCUCUAUGUAUCAGAAUAUGGAGCUGUUAAACUUAUUCAUCUCUUUGAAAAGCUUGCUGACUCUUUUGUGGUCAUAGGGAAGGGUCAUAGAAAGGUGAUUUGCCUUCGAAAUUCUGGUGAUAGUAACCUGAAGAAAUAUUCAACCACACCAAUUAUUUUGAAAAAGGAAAAUAGAGGUGGUUCUAUUCUUGAUGAAAGCACUAUAGGAACAGGUCAGCAGUUGGGCAGCUCAUCAGAUGAUUUCUCAGAGGAUGAACGGAACAUUAACCCAGAUGUAGAUGGAGCAUAUGCCUUCGAUAGCCAUCUAGACAAUUUCAGACAGGAGAUUCAGGAGCUUCUUGUCUGUUACUCUUGCCCUGUUCCACUGGGUAAUUUCAAGUCUCUCUAUGAACAACGGUACAAGAAGACUCUUAUCUAUGAGAGCUUUGGUGUCGAUGGUCUGGAGGAGCUAGUUGAGAAGGUAAAAGAUGUUGUGGAACUGUGUGAGGAUCAGACCAGCAAAAGGAAGUACCUUAUAGCCAAUUAUCGCAGUUAAGCCUUCUGUUGUCCAAAUGUCAGUCACUUCAGUUAUUUAGAUGGACAAGUAUGCUCCAGAAACACUCCUUCCAUGCCACUGUACGCCCCAUCCGAAUUCAGUGUUCUGAAGGUGUUGAGAAGGUAAAAGAUGUUGUGGAAUGACGAAAGGGAUCAAGCCAGCAAAAGUUAUAUGAAUUGGGUGUUCUUCAGUCUCCACAGGAGUUGGUACAGGUGUUCUCCACAGGAGUCUCCACCCUUGAUCUUCUAUAAACUAAUUUAUGCAGACAUAUUUGUGUGCAUACUUUCCCAGACAUUUUCUAAUGUGCGUGCUUUCUUGUCAUAAAGUAAAAGAAACAUCAUUAUUCUUUACAAUAUGAAUUGGAUAUGUGAUAUAAUAGAAAUCUAAUGCACUAGGCAAUCUCACUUUUGCAGCUAGUAUUAUAUCUCUGUAUUUCUGGAGCAUACUUGUCCAUAUUCCAUAAACAGUUGGAUUGUCUUGACCUGUGCGUGUUGUCAAAUUUUCAUUGAUUGUACAAAUCUUUAAAUUACGACACUGAUGUUGUACUGUAUAUCUUCAA